UGGUCAUUACCAAUGCUUUGAGAAUGCAGUUUCUCAAUUGCUGUGGACAUGACCACAAAACAAAAAUACUUCCACUAGGUUUUCUAUCUGCUACUUCGUUGACAUUCAGCUUACUGGGGACAUUU
ensembl:snoRNA